rnacentral:rRNA from 1 species
UACGAAGGGGGCUAGCGUUGCUCGGAAUUACUGGGCGUAAAGGGCGCGUAGGCGGAUAGUUUAGUCAGAGGUGAAAGCCCAGGGCUCAACCUCGGAACUGCCUUUGAUACUGGCUAUCUUGAGUUCGGGAGAGGUGAGUGGAAUGCCGAGUGUAGAGGUGAAAUUCGUAGAUAUUCGGCGGAACACCAGUGGCGAAGGCGACUCACUGGCCCGAUACUGACGCUGAGGCGCGAAAGCGUGGGGAGCAAACAGG